CGCGGAGUGGAGCAGUUGGCAGCUCGUCGGGCUCAUAACCCGAAGGUCGCAGGUUCAAGUCCUGCCUCCGCAACCA
rnacentral:tRNA from 1 species